CUGCUGCCUUCCGUAGGAGUCUGGUCCGUGUCUCAGUACCAGUGUGGGGGGCCUUCCUCUCAGAACCCCUACGCAUCGUCGCCUCGGUGGGCCGUUACCCCGCCGACUAGCUAAUGCGCCGCAUGCCCAUCCGUGGCCGGGAUUGCUCCCUUUGGCGGCCUUGGGAUGCCCCAAGGCCGCGUUACGCGGUAUUAGACGGGGUUUCCCCCGCUUAUCCCCCCUGCCACGGGCAGGUUGCAUACGUGUUACUCACCCGUGCGCCGGUCGCCGGCGGGAGUA
rnacentral:rRNA from 1 species